UUUGAAUUGUUUGUUAAAUUUUUCUUAAUAGGAAAGACAAUGUUUUGCGAUUAUGGAAUUAUUUACUAGAACUUCUACGAGCUCGCAGAAGCAGACUAGAAAAAUCUAUAGCUUUACAACAGACAUUCCAAGAAAUGAUAUUCAUUUUAGAUUCUAUGGAAGAAAUCAAGGCUAGAUUGUUAUCUAAAGAUUAUGGCAAACAUCUCAUGGGAGUU